rnacentral:rRNA from 1 species
CCUACGGGUGGCAGCAGUGAGGAAUAUUGGUCAAUGGGCGAGAGCCUGAACCAGCCAAGUCGCGUGAAGGAUGACGGCCCUACGGGUUGUAAACUUCUUUUGUCAGGGAGCAAUUGGGUCGACGCGUGGGCGUAGCGAGAGUACCUGAAGAAAAAGCAUCGGUUAACCCCGGGCCAGCAGCCGCGGUAAGACGGGGGAUGCGAGCGUUACCCGGAUUUAUUGGGUUUAAAGGGUGCGUAGGCGGAAUUUCAAGUCAGCGGUAAAAAUUCGGGGCUCAACCCCGCCGUGCCGUUGAAACUGGUGGUCUUGAGUGGGCGAGAAGUAUGCGGAAUGCGUGGUGUAGCGGUGAAAUGCAUAGAUAUCACGCAGAACUCCGAUUGCGAAGGCAGCAUACCGGCGCCCAACUAACGCUGAGGCACGAAAGCGUGGGUAUCGAACAGGAUUAGAUACCCUUGUAGUC